AGUAAAUGAAAUCAAAGGAGAAGGUUGCUGAUCAAUUUGCAAGCUUGCGAAGAUCAUAAAAAUUGGUACCUGCAAGAACAACUUUCAGUCAUUUUCUAUGCGGCCUUUCAAGAACCUUGCUGAAACUGAACCUUCAGUUCUUGUCACUCAAGACAUCUAGGGUGGAAAAACUUGGUUCUUCUCCAGGCGUGCAUGAUAUAAUAAGUCAUAAUGUUGCUGACAUGAAGAAAUUAUUUUAGUUUCUUAUUGGCAUUUGGAUACGUGCUGUCUGAAUAUGUUAUUCCUUCCAGAAUAUGCUAUAUGAAAAGAAAAAUGAUUUAUUGACGAAAUAAAGCUUAUGAACUUGAUAUGACCAUAAGGAUUUAAUAAAUCACUUUUGGCUUCUUUCAUUUACAAAGAACCAAGUGGAUCUCUCGGUGAUAUUUUUAAACUAGGUUUGCCUUUCAGUCUAAUAUAUAAUCCUGUCCUUCAGAAGAACGUACGGAAAUUUUCUUUUACUCCAAUUCUGUUUUGGUUUCAAGAGUUACGAGAUAACGAUAUUUCUUCACGCGUAUACGAGUACUAGUACAUGAAUCGCUUGUUAAAUAUAUAAUAUAAUGCCAGUUUGUUGACACGGUUAAGGUAACUAUGGGUAUGAACUGCGUUUCUAUUUUCUGGAAAAAAAAUUUAAGACUAGUUUGCCUCGUCAUUUACUCUGUUUUCAUUGUAGUUGGCCUCUGAAGAUGAAUGGAGAAUCUAGUCAGUUAAUGGAAAAUGGAUAUGAGGACACACAAAAACGGAUACUACAAAGCUAACCUGUCUACUCUAUGAAGUACGGAUAGCAAAGAAGUAAAGCAGUCGACAAUGCAGACUAGACAACUCCGCAGAGAGAGACAGGAUCCUGCUCGUGCUGAAAGCAUCUACAAGAACAAAAAAUGAAUAUGAGAAUAAUGGAGCUGUGUAAGUUCUUAUUUGGCCUCGCUUGUGGUAAUAACUUUGCUACUCCAAUGAGUAUCUACGACGCUCUAAUAAGAGGCUUCAGCAUCUAUUACAGCAGAAUAUUUUGGGGGUCUUUCUGAUCAGCUACGCAAAUAGAGGCUUCUGCAUCUGUUACAGCAGAAUAUUUUGGGGGUCUUUCUGAUCAGCUAGACAAAUAGAAUCUGAAUUAACUGAUAUGUAAUUCCCUUUAGUUAAGGUUAUCAUGUGACAAUAAAUUACCAAUCUCGAAAGUUUGUACAACCUUUACCCUGCAAAUAGUGCAUAUGCAAAAUUCUUUUAGCC